GGAGACGUGGCCGAGUGGACGAAGGCGCUCCCCUGCUAAGGGAGUAGGCCCGGAAGGGUCUCGAGGGUUCGAAUCCCUUCGUCUCUGCCA
rnacentral:tRNA from 2 species